rnacentral:tRNA from 1 species
GGUAGAGCUCAGUGGUAGAGCGCGUGCUUAGCAUGCAUGAGGUCCUGGGUUCAAUUCCCAGUACC